rnacentral:lncRNA from 10 species
CAAGGCUCUGCCAGACCCCCAUUCUUCCUCAGCCACCACACCUCCCCAAAUGCCUUUUCAAUGCCUGGACCUCUCGCUCCCCACUCCUCUCUGCCCAUGUGGCCUCUUCCUCCUCCAAAUGCACUCAUACAUAAGUCAGGGCUUUCCAGAGAAACAGAACAAACAGGGUGUAUGUGGAGAGAGGAGAGAGGAGAGCAGGGAGAGAGGAGGAAGGAGAGCAGGGAAAGAGAGGACAGGAAGGUGGGGGAGAUGAGAGGAGA